rnacentral:tRNA from 1 species
GGCUCGUUGGUCUAGGGAUAUGAUUCUCGCUUUGAGUGCGAGAGGUCCCGGGUUCAAAUCCCGGAUGAGCCC